UCAAUGGUGGGCCAGCGGGGGCGUCGAAAGAUGCGCCGGUGUCGAUGAGGCCGGUAGUUCCAACCCCGUCUGGUUCCGCCACCA
rnacentral:antisense_RNA from 1 species